rnacentral:lncRNA from 1 species
CAGCGGUCAGUGGGGCUCUGUGUGUGGGCGCCUCGCGUUGCUUGCGUUUGGAGCCAGUGGCAGUCGAUGCUACGGUUUUGAGGGGUUAUCUGAGCUAAACUCCCGUGAAUGUCCUUGAUGGCCGUAGCUGGCGCAUCCUAAUUCUUAGGUUGUGAGAGAGCGAAUGAUUUCUGUGUUCACUUCUGGGAUGCCGCCACUGGUUUUGCCACCUUCUCCUUCGCUGCUCCUUUUCCUGUGUUGGAGAAAAUAUAUCUGAGCUGAUACAGGGCGCUGUCAGCACUUGGUGCUUUGCACGAGGCCACUGAGGCCAUGCAGACCGACCACCAGCUGUGCCCACUAAGCCAUAGCAGUGCUGAGCUGUGGCCUCGUGGUUUGGUAGCUCGCAGUCUGUGUGUGAAACUCGCUGGAGCUGCACCUAGACUUGGGAUGGCCAGGAGAUCUGAGCGCUGCGCGAAGCAGGAGCAGUGAAUGAUGUUGGCGAGGGGAGCCCUCUGGAAACUGUGACGGCUUGUGUGUGUUGCAACUACAUCUGAUUAGUUCAUCAGGAGCCGGUGUCAGCCUCGUACAUCUAGCGCUGAGUGAGCCUGGAUGCAGUCCAGCUGCUGCCUUGCCCUAUAGGGCUGAAGUGCUCAGCCUUGCUGAACCAGACGUGUGCCUGGGUGUGCCUGAUCUGUGUUGCUCUUAUCAGGAGAGCUAAGCAGCCCAACGCAGCGGGUGUUCUUGCAAGAGUGCAGCCCUAACUCUGCAUGGCUGAUGCUCAGCUGGAGGUAUGGGUUUAGCCUGGAUUCUGCAGCAUUGUUUGUGCCGCCAUGCUGUGCUCUACUGGGAGAUAAACUCAGGUGGUCCUGGGUCCAGGCUGGAUUUGUGCUGUGCCCAACCAGGGUCUCGGAUUGAGUUCAGCCUGGGGUUAGUAACAUCAAUAUGACUUCAGAGCCACUCGGAUGAAUCCAAACUUUGCUGCAUAGCACAGCAUAGGGAUAAGGGGGCAAGCUUUGCAAGAUGCAUGCGUGUUCCAUGCUGCGUGAAAGUACUUGUACGGAUGUGAAUCUGCAGGGCCCUGGGAUGCAGCCUGAGCUGAUGAACUCAAUCAGAC